ensembl:snRNA U6 U6 spliceosomal RNA
GUGCUUGCUUCAGCAGCACAUAUACUAAAAUUGGAAUGAUUCAAAGAUUAACAUGGCCAGUGUGCAUGGAUGACAUGGGGAUGAGGGAAGCAUUCCAUAUUAAA